UACGUAGGGCGCAAGCGUUGUCCGGAAUUAUUGGGCGUAAAGAGCUCGUAGGCGGCUUGUUGCGUCGGUUGUGAAAGCCCGGGGCUUAACCCCGGGUCUGCAGUCGAUACGGGCAGGCUAGAGUGUGGUAGGGGAGAUCGGAAUUCCUGGUGUAGCGGUGAAAUGCGCAGAUAUCAGGAGGAACACCGGUGGCGAAGGCGGAUCUCUGGGCCUUACCUGACGCUCAGGCGCGAAAGCUAGGGGAGCGAACAGG
rnacentral:rRNA from 1 species